AUUUGAUUAUUCAUAUACUAGAAAAUUACUUGAUCUCUCAUGAACCCUAAUCUAAUAUCUGAUAUCCCAUUCAUAACAAAAAGAAGAACACACCUAAAAAAUAAAAUUAUUCUUUAUCAUUGUAUACCAAUCUACCAAUAAAAUACAUCCUCACCUCUAAUCUCCUCCCCGAACAGCAGCAGCAGCUUAUCUUCACCUUCUCCCUCCCUUGCAGCCGUGCUCUGUCUCCAUCGUUCUUCACGCUUCACGCAGUAGCAGCACGCACGAGCAGCCGCCUUAUCGUUCUCCACGCAUCAACAGCCUUGUGUCGCCCUCCGUGCAGUGCAGCCAUCGUGUCGUCCUCCACGUAGCAGCAACCCCGUAUCGCUCUCCGUGCCUUCCUCCACUCCUCCCUGCAGUUGCCACUCUCUGUGUAACAUGGUAGUUUCCAAAGGUUCGGUCCAGUGAACUUGUUCUGGAGUACACGCUAGACAAAGCAAUGACAUUGUUUUUGGCAUGCCUCAAGGAUUUUGCAGAAUUUGCCAAGUCCAAAGAUCAAGAAAAUAAUAUUCCACCUGAGAAAUGUUUCAAACUUUCAUAUAAGUACCAUCGCAUAUAAUACUAAUACAUAUUAAUUGUAGUGAGUUUUAUCUUUGGACACUGACCAAAUGCCUAAAAAUUUACCUUCCACUGUUUCACAUUUAGAUCAUCAUUACUCUUAAUUGUCGGAUGAAGAGAAAUUUGGUGUUGGUGUCAUCAAAUUUAAAUCCUUUGGAAUUACAUUUCAUGCCUUUUGCUAAGUAUGUUGAUGAAGAAUUAUGGAGGGAAUAAUACCCAAGGGUUCAUUUUUUCUAAUCUCUGAGAGAGUAAUGUGAUGUGACUCAAGGCAUAACUUAUGAUAUCCAUGAGCAUGUUAUUUAAUUAGUCAUAGCUGAUGGAAUUUAUGUUGCUUUUGAACAAAUGCAUGAGAUUUACAGCUCUUCGAGUCUUUUCUGCAAAGAGGAAAGAACCAAAGUAAGUCUGCUCUGUGUCCAUAAUCUCUUCUGGUGCAUAUCCAGGCUGGAUUUCUAUCUCUGCUCUUCCCUUUCUUUAUUAAAUACAAAAAUACAGAUAGUAGACUGUAGAAUGGGAAUGAGCUAAGCUUUACUAUGUUUGUGCUUUGAUGUGGACUGGUAUUUAUGAACAAUUCUUUACAUGCCUUCAUAUCAGAUCUCUAAAUCACAUGUUUAGUAAUUGAUAAAUUUUGCUUAUCUAUAAAUAGUUUGUGAGCUGAGUUUUUCACUGAUAAUAGUUCUUGAAAUUUUUCUGAAGGUUUGCUUUUUCAAGACCUUUACAUUUGGGUGUUGGAUCUUGCAUUAAAUUUUAUCCAAACAAAUUUCUUCUUUACUUGAGAGCCCAAAGUUGGCUGUGAAAUAGAAUAAACUUUCACAUGGGUCAAAAGUUGCUUCAUUGUUU